UAAAUUUAGAGUUUGAUCCUGGCUCAGGACGAACGCUGGCGGCGUGCUUAACACAUGCAAGUCGAGCGAUGAAGCUUCCUUCGGGAGGUGGAUUAGCGGCGGACGGGUGAGUAACACGUGGGUAACCUGCCUCAAAGUGGGGGAUAGCCUUCCGAAAGGAAGAUUAAUACCGCAUAAUAUGAGAGAAUCGCAUGAUUUUCUUAUCAAAGAUUUAUUGCUUUGAGAUGGACCCGCGGCGCAUUAGCUAGUUGGUAAGGUAACGGCUUACCAAGGCAACGAUGCGUAGCCGACCUGAGAGGGUGAUCGGCCACAUUGGAACUGAGACACGGUCCAGACUCCUACGGGAGGCAGCAGUGGGGAAUAUUGCGCAAUGGGGGAAACCCUGACGCAGCAACGCCGCGUGGGUGAUGAAGGUCUUCGGAUUGUAAAGCCCUGUUUUCUAGGACGAUAAUGACGGUACUAGAGGAGGAAGCCACGGCUAACUACGUGCCAGCAGCCGCGGUAAUACGUAGGUGGCGAGCGUUGUCCGGAUUUACUGGGCGUAAAGGGUGCGUAGGCGGAUGUUUAAGUGGGAUGUGAAAUCCCCGGGCUUAACCUGGGGGCUGCAUUCCAAACUGGAUAUCUAGAGUGCAGGAGAGGAAAGCGGAAUUCCUAGUGUAGCGGUGAAAUGCGUAGAGAUUAGGAAGAACACCAGUGGCGAAGGCGGCUUUCUGGACUGUAACUGACGCUGAGGCACGAAAGCGUGGGUAGCAAACAGGAUUAGAUACCCUGGUAGUCCACGCCGUAAACGAUGGAUACUAGGUGUAGGGGGUAUCAACUCCCCCUGUGCCGCAGUUAACACAAUAAGUAUCCCGCCUGGGGAGUACGGUCGCAAGAUUAAAACUCAAAGGAAUUGACGGGGGCCCGCACAAGCAGCGGAGCAUGUGGUUUAAUUCGAAGCAACGCGAAGAACCUUACCUGGACUUGACAUCCCUUGCAUAGCCUAGAGAUAGGUGAAGCCCUUCGGGGCAAGGAGACAGGUGGUGCAUGGUUGUCGUCAGCUCGUGUCGUGAGAUGUUAGGUUAAGUCCUGCAACGAGCGCAACCCUUGUUAUUAGUUGCUACCAUUAAGUUGAGCACUCUAAUGAGACUGCCUGGGUAACCAGGAGGAAGGUGGGGAUGACGUCAAAUCAUCAUGCCCCUUAUGUCCAGGGCUACACACGUGCUACAAUGGUAGGUACAAUAAGACGCAAGACCGUGAGGUGGAGCAAAACUUAUAAAACCUAUCUCAGUUCGGAUUGUAGGCUGCAACUCGCCUACAUGAAGCUGGAGUUGCUAGUAAUCGCGAAUCAGAAUGUCGCGGUGAAUACGUUCCCGGGCCUUGUACACACCGCCCGUCACACCAUGAGAGCUGGUAACACCCGAAGUCCGUGAGGUAACCGUAAGGAACCAGCGGCCGAAGGUGGGAUUAGUGAUUGGGGUGAAGUCGUAACAAGGUAGCCGUAGGAGAACCUGCGGCUGGAUCACCUCCUUU
rnacentral:rRNA from 1 species